rnacentral:rRNA from 1 species
GUGUACGGCCAUGCCACUCUGAACGUGCCCGAUCUUGUCUGAUCUUGGAAGCUAAGCAGGGUCGGGCCUGGUUAGUACUUGGAUGGGGGACCACCUAGGAAGACCAGGUGCUGUAGGUG